CUAGCCCCGAUGGAAGCGGCAUUCCUUUGUGCAGCGCAGCGGAACAAAAGAUACAGCGGACAGCGGGAUUAG
rnacentral:sRNA from 1 species